rnacentral:lncRNA from 1 species
GUUAAGAUUGAUUCGUGCUAUCUGGAGUGCGUUAUUUGCCACGAGCCCAUUGGCCCUCCUCUCAUACAGGUUCUUAAAUUCUUACAGAUCUUUAUUGUUAUUGAUGGAUUCUUAUGUUAUGCUGAUUGAACUGUCUGUUUCAUGGUAGAGCGGAGCUCCAAAGGGCUUGAGGCAAAUAAAGCACUCCAGAUAGUGCAAAUCAAUCUUAACGCCUCGUUGCUGGAUCUACCCUUCCGAACGACCAUCCCCCUCGUCGCAGUCUCCUUCGGCAGUCUCCUCCUCGCAGUCUCCUCCUCGCAAUCUCCUUUUCGCAGUCUCCUGCGGAAGUCUCCCCUGGCAUAUACCUGUUACCUUAGGCUAUAUGCGCGUGGAAUUGCAGACAAGCUUCGAUGAUUACAUAUUUCUGUUAAAUAAUUAUAUUAUGUUCAGUUUGUUAUAGUUGAUGUAAUAGAAGGUUGCAUUGUAGGCAAAUCCUUUUUGUAUUUUGCAAACUUCUAUAAAAUCGUGUACUCGGCUUUAAAGAAAAUGUAAUU